UUAAAUGGCCGCAGUAUUUUGACUGUGCUAAGGUAGCAUAAUCAAUAGUUUUUUAAUUGAAAGCUGGAAUGAAGGGUUGGAUGAAAAAUUAACUGUCUCUUUAUAAAUUUUUUAGAAAUUUAUUUUUAAGUAAAAAAGCUUAAAUAUUUUUAAAAGACGAGAAGACCCUAUAGAGUUUUAUAUAAGAAUUAAAUUAAAAUUUUUAGUAAUUAAAUAUUUUAAUUUAAAUUAGUAUUUAAUUGGGGUGAUUAAAAAAUUAAAUAAACUUUUUUUAUAAAAAUAUAUAAAUAAAUAAAUAGUUGAUCCAAUAUUUUUGAUUAUAAGAAUAAGUUACCUUAGGGAUAACAGCGUAAUUUUAUUAAAGAGUU
rnacentral:rRNA from 1 species